GAUGAACGCUGGCGGCGUGCCUAAUACAUGCAAGUCGAGCGAACGGACGAGAAGCUUGCUUCUCUGAUGUUAGCGGCGGACGGGUGAGUAACACGUGGAUAACCUACCUAUAAGACUGGGAUAACUUCGGGAAACCGGAGCUAAUACCGGAUAAUAUUUUGAACCGCAUGGUUCAAAAGUGAAAGACGGUCUUGCUGUCACUUAUAGAUGGAUCCGCGCUGCAUUAGCUAGUUGGUAAGGUAACGGCUUACCAAGGCAACGAUGCAUAGCCGACCUGAGAGGGGGAUCGGCCACACUGGAACUGGGACACGGUCCAGACUCCUACGGGAGGCAGCAGUAGGGAAUCUUCCGCAAUGGGCGAAAGCCUGACGGAGCAACGCCGCGUGAGUGAUGAAGGUCUUCGGAUCGUAAAACUCUGUGAUUAGGGAAGAACAUAUGUGUAAGUAACUGUGCACAUCUUGACGGUACCUAAUCAGAAAGCCACGGCUAACUACGUG
rnacentral:rRNA from 1 species